rnacentral:rRNA from 1 species
AUUGAACGCUGGCGGCAUGCCUUACACAUGCAAGUCGAACGGUAACAGGUCUUCGGAUGUUGACGAGUGGCGAACGGGUGAGUAAUACAUCGGAACGUGCCUAGUAGUGGGGGAUAACUACUCGAAAGAGUGGCUAAUACCGCAUGAGAUCUACGGAUGAAAGCAGGGGAUCGCAAGACCUUGUGCUACUAGAGCGGCCGAUGGCAGAUUAGGUAGUUGGUGGGAUAAAAGCUUACCAAGCCGACGAUCUGUAGCUGGUCUGAGAGGACGAUCAGCCACACUGGGACUGAGACACGGCCCAGACUCCUACGGGAGGCAGCAGUGGGGAAUUUUGGACGAUGGGCGCAAGCCUGAUCCAGCAAUGCCGCGUGCAGGAUGAAGGCCUUCGGGUUGUAAACUGCUUUUGUACGGAACGAAAAGCCCCGGGUUAAUACCCUGGGGUCAUGACGGUACCGUAAGAAUAAGCACCGGCUAACUACGUGCCAGCAGCCGCGGUAA